GAUGAAGAACGCAGCGAAAUGCGAUAAGUAGUGUGAAUUGCAGAAUUCAGUGAAUCAUCGAAUCUUUGAACGCACAUUGCGCCCCUUGGUAUCCCGAGGGGCAUGCCUGUUCGAGCGUCAUUUCACCACUCAAGCCUGGCUUGGUGUUGGGCGACGUCCCCUUUGGGGACGCGCCUCGAAACGCUCGGCGGCGUGGCACCGGCUUUAAGCGUAGCAGAAUCUUUCGCUUUGGAAGUCGGGGCCCCGUCUGCCGGAAGACCUACUCGCAAGGUUGACCUCGGAUCAGGCAGGGAUACCCGCUGAACUUAAGCUUAUCAAUAAGCGGAGGA
rnacentral:misc_RNA from 1 species